CCCUUCUCGAUUCUCUUUGCCAAAGAAGCAGGUACACACAGACCGGGGCACGCAGACGCAGCAAACACAGAGACGCGCACAGGUAGCAUGCGAGCAGGCACGGCCAGCACGCAUAUUCCUCACACGCACAUCCCACAUAACAACGUCAAGAGAGGGAAACAAUGUAACUAACUACUUACCAGCAUAGCACAUGCAUUUCCUUAAGGUACGUGAGUGCACGUAUAAAUCGCCCCCUCAUUAUAUUGUCUUAUGUAUCUUUGUUUGUUCUGUGGUUGCUGUGUAUCACGUGCUCUCUCGAGAGUUUCAAGCUUCACGUCUCACCGUUGCCGCAUUCAGCACUUAUCCGCAUACAAGCACGCAAGGCGGCUUCGCCACGCCUUUCCGCCCUUGGCUCCGUAGCCGUGAUGAAAAACGUGCAAGGCCGCAGCCUCCGUGAAUGCCGGCCUUCGCCACACGCACAGCGCCAGGGCGCCAGGCCUCCACCUUUCACCUCCAAGACUCGCACACGCACCUUUUCAAAGGAGCAGCCACGAAAGGGACGUGAUGCGCGUCGCCAAUCCUCUUCGCCGCAUGGCACCCCGUCGCCUUCAUCACCUGCCCCUCUCGCCGCAGCAUGUCCAAGCCAGAAGGCGCAGGCCGCUGCAGCCACUUUGACGGGCGGCAAUGCCAGUGGCGCGCCGGCUGCGUUGGCCACCUCCUCCCCCACGCUGCUGGCAGCCGAUGACUCCGAGGCAAAGGAUGGCAUGCGAAGGCCGACCUCGAGGCGGCCGAACUCAACCCCUGCAGAGGUUUCUCCUGGCGCUGGUGAUGAAACAGCGCAGCGGAAGGGACCAACAUGGCAGCAAAGCGCAGGUGACAGGAGCGCACCUCCAGCCGCACGAUCGCGUAUUGGGCGGUAUCUGGCGCCACCGCGGCGAAAGUGCCGCGCGGCCUCGGCGUCGGCUUCUCCAUCUCACGCCUCCUCCUCUCCCAGCGUAUCCGACAUGCAGUCCACCAGCUCGAGAACCUGCAGCAGCUCAAGCGACAGGGACGCUCGUGGGGUGUACAGGUCACUGCAACGUGAUUCUCAGCGAAACCGGGGUCGCGGCGCGACGCCAGCAACGGCAGCCCAUCCUUCUGCGUCGUCUGCAACUACGAAAGGCUCGAAAAAGUCGUGGCGUGCAUCACAACAACAGCGAAAGCAGCAUCGCGUGGUCGCGGGGGGAGCCUACUCCAGCACAAGCAGUAUCAGCUCCUCAUCGGCAACAUCGCCAGAUGGCACAGCGACCAAGUCAGCGAGAACCUCCAGCGAUAGCUGGCUCAGCCGGCGGUGCGCGAGCCAGAAUGACGAAGGAAACGCCUUCCUUUCGCCCCCCACCUCUACAUCGGUGGAGCCGAUCUGUGCCUUCACGGAUGUGCUGCCGCGCGACGUAUAUCUACGCAUUUGCGGUUUCCUGACUGAGGCGGACUGCUGCACGCUGCUCGAAGUAAGUCUGUGCAUGCACGCCGCCAUCACCAGCGCCGACAGCAUCGUAUGGCGCCACAUGUGCGUGAAUACGUGGAUGUACAAGCAGGGAUUUCAGACAUUCAUUCAACACGUAAGAGCGCUAGAGGUGUUGGCGCGCCAAGAGGAGCUCGAGGUUCAGGCGCUGCAGCAGCACAUGCUCCUGUUGCGCGAGCAGGGCAUUGUUUUCGGCGAGUCUGAUGUGUCCGCCACAUGCGACUGCACAACAGUGCUCAUUCGUCGCCGGCAGCACGAACGCGCUCGGUGGAUGGCGGCUGCAGCAGCAGGUGCCGCGGCCUCAACGCUCCACCGUUCGAGAUUGACGAGCAAGUUGGGUAGCGCGACCGCCAGCGCGAGCAGCACAACGCAAACCGAUAGUAGCUGCGUGAUAAGCAGCGCCGGCGGCCGCCGGCGCUGCAAGAGCCGACGCUGUCACAGGAAAGCCAGGCGCAGCACCACCACAGCAUCUACGCCACGACGCAGUGGAAACAUCUGUGGUGCAGCAGCGAAACGGCCAACACACGCGGCACGGUGGGCAGAACCAUCAUCACAGAGGCUGGACUCCCGCUCGACGGCAACCACGGCCACUUCAAGGACAUUACGAAGCCGUCGCAAGUGCAGUGACGGCUUGCGUGACAGCGAUGAUACGUCUGAAUCGCUGUCUCGCUCCUGCUCAUCGCGGAGUUUGUCCUCGUCCGAGUCGUCGAAGGAAAAAACUUGCAACGGCACACACCACAUACAGACGCACCCGCCGAGCCAUCACAGCGCUGAUGACUCUGCAGCCCCACUGCGCCCAGGCGGCUCUGACGCAGGCGAGAAAGUAUACAGCGAUACUGGUUGUUCGCCUCUGCCGCCGCCCCCUUCAAGCAGUCACGCGGACGCCUCGGCGGAGCCACGUGAGAAGGCGCGCGGUGGCUCUUCCGCGGCGCUACGCUCAACGAGUGCAUCAGACGGCAGAGGAGAUAAUGCAUACGAGUAUCUGAGUACUGAGGACGGCGAGACAGAGGACAGAAGAGAGCGGCGGGUGCGCAUUCGCCUGCCAGAGGCCGAGGCUGAUGACGAAGGCAACGCGAACCUGACAGAUACGUCUGUGCUCGCCGUACGCUCUCGUAGCGGUUCUCGUCACCGCAGGCGCAGUCGCCGCUCUCUCUCCGGCAGUCUGCUGCCCCCGGCUCACGGCUAUCGUCACCAUCACCGACACGAUGGUUCGUCACGGCAGCAACAGCAGCCGCCACGCAGCCGGUACCGCCGCAGCCACCGCGAGAAACGGCGCAAGCCCGCUCGCCAGCGUCGACGGAAGCGUGGCCGCAGUCGAGGUCCGCGCUCGACUGGCGGCGGCGGCAGCCGGCACCGCUCUCAGCUGCACCGCGGUCAAGGCCGCCAGCACCGCUCAUCGCACCAGCAUCACCACAAUCCCAAAGCAACGAAGAGUUCGCGGCGGCGGCGACGUCGUCAGCGCAACGCCGCCGCAGCUGCGGCUGCCGCUGCACAGGCUGAUCGCGACGGCGGCAGCGCAAGCUUCUACGCAUCUUCUCAGAAUGCCGCGGCGGGUGGCGGAAUCAGCACCUACUUUUACCAGACAGCAACAUAUGAGGCCAUCAAGAGCACCACCCCGGUGCUAGAAGCGCAGCACAUCGCACCCUCCAUGGUUCCCUUUAAGCUCGGAGGUAGGCAGACACCUUCAGUGAGCGGCGCAGAGGCUGUCGUGAUUCAAAGUCGCGGAACGGCGCAACGAAAUCCGCACCAGCCUCGCGGUAGCGAAGUACACGCGUGCGAGGCGUCUGCCGCCGGUGCCCUCGCGCAGCCAGCAUCCCCACUGGACAGCGGCAGCGAUGCGGCUCAGAGGAUGGUGUCGGCAUCUCCGAAAACGGGCUCAGCCUCUCAACAGGUGACGUCACCCCAAACAGCAACCACUGCGCCCAGUGCUGCUACGGCAUUCGGCACAGGCGCCAACGAGGAAAGGCUUUACUGGUGGCAGUUGACGCCUGAGGCUCGGCAACUUCAGCUUCGCCGCAUGCAACAGCUUGAGCUACAGCAGCAGCUGGCGGCAUCCAGCGGUGAGCUCACGACGCGAACAGCGCCGUCUUUGCGGGACGGAGAUGAGCUGGCAGAUGAAGCGGCGCUGCGGGAGUGGGACGAGCUGGAAGCCUCCUCCUUAGGAUCGUCGAGCGGCACCAUCUACGAGGAAGAUGCAGACGCGAGUCGGGAAGGCGACAGGGAAGAGGGGUACAGCGAUGGAAACGGCGCUUCCGUCAUCUCUGACGAUACCGAGGGGAGGAGCGAGCGCAGCACCAACGAAGACGAGGACGAAGGGGAAGGUAGCACCGACAGCAGCGAUUAUCGUCAUCGCCGUCGUCGCAGUCGCAAGUUGUGGCGGACUCAGAGCAGGUCGACAAGGCGAUCAGUCACCAGUGACGAAACCACGUCGACGACGGCGCCUUGCCGCCUCUCGUGCCGCCAACGACACGGUGGCGAGUCAAGCACUUCCUCGUCCUCCUGCUGCUCGAGCCGCCUUCACGCUGCCCCUUCCUCCCUCGUCAAUGGCGAAAGCACCGCCUCUGAGUGCGGGGUCGACAGUGAGAAAGAGCGGUGGAUGCGCACAGGCGUACGCGGAGCCGCAUCUUUGCCGCAUCAACGGUGCAAGUCGAGCGAUGCCACCGACAGCCGUAGCAGGGGCAAUGGCAAUGACGAUGACGAUGGCGCUGGUGGCGGUACAUCCGAGGGUACCGCCGACAGGUACGAUUCCGACGAAGGCGCGACAGCUGCGUCCAGCACGACUGCGUCUGUCGUAAGUCAGGCGGACAACAAACUCAUAGCAGAUAGCAGCAGCAAGAGCAGUAGCGGCAAGCGAGUGCUCCCUCGCGUGCGCCGCAGCGGUCACCCCUAUGCUUCACUUGGCAUCUCCGUGGGGGCUUUAGUGCCCUCCUCGUCCAGAUUAGCGAUUCGCGCGGAGCGGCGUGUUGCCAAGGCCUUGGAGAAGCGUUACGAAGGCAUUGAGGAGGCGAUGGUGAUUACGCGCUCCAAGAGCGUGCUCAUCCACACGCUGGAGCGGCAAACUCACGCACACCUGCCGCGCCUUCUCGCAGCAGCGCAGCGACAGCAUCGGUUGAUGAUGAACACGCUACCCGCUGCUGCAGCUGCCCACCACGCCGACCCCUCUCUCGUGUCUCCUACCGUUGCUUUGCAUCGUGGAGCUCCGGACUUCUCCGAGGUGGCCUCGGCACCGACAGCGCGUGCCAUCAUUCUGAUCGGGGCCGGCAGCAGUGGCUUCAGCGGCUGUGGAGCAUCGACAACGCUGCCGGCGGCCGCCUCGCUAGCUGCCCCGCCAGCAUCGCACCUCCUCUCCUCUCUUGACAAUUCUUUUGCCACUGUCGCAGCAGCGGCCUUGGCCGUGCCCGCGUCGCCGCUAUACCAGCUCGCUCGCAGCAGCAGCUCUAACGCCCUGACCAGCUCAAACGGUGAACGCGGCGGCGGUUUGAGCGGCAUGUUGCCCUGCCAAGGCAACCCUCACUCUUCUCCACCCUCCACGAGUACUGCUAGCCUAGCUGCAGACACGGUGGGCAACGGCGGCGGCGUUGCAACCGCACCUCGCGCACCCCUACAAGGCCUUUUGGCGCGCCAUCGCAUGGCUGCCACAGCAGUUGCUGCCGUCGGUGACAACGGUGUCAGGGGAGGUGCACCGUCCAGCGCUGGCGGCGCACCGCUGCAACCAACGAACGACGACGAGGCUGUCGACGAUGACGACGAGGAGCAGCUCGCCCCCGUUUCGUGGAAGUUCGCCUUCUUCAUGUCUCGCCGCGAGGCGCAACGAGUGAAGAUCACCCUGCAAGAUCUGAUAGAGGGGAUGUGGGUGGUGUGCUUCCGUAGCAGCGGCCGAACUCACCCAAUCCGCUUCGUCGGGCAGCACCAAGUCUUCGUAUAUCCACCCCUCCCCACAACAGAAGAAGAGGAAGAGCAGCGACUGCAACAGAACGGUCUGGAAUCGAGCGAGGCUGGUCACGCCACCACAACGGCGGAUGCAACCAGCGCGACCUCGGCAGCGCCUCCGUUGCCCUUUCACAUUCUGCAAGGUGGUGCGCAGCUGGUGGUGCACCAGUUUCCGCCCAUGAAAGUAAUGCGGCGGAACGGUGCAGCGCCGGGGAAUGCUGCUGCUGGUGGCACGCCGGCGGCGGUGGCACCAGUUUCCUCGGCCAAUGCUCCGGCGGCAGCAGCGGUGACGCCAGCAAUGAUGGCGGAGAGGCGGUUUGCUGCAGAGCCGCAAGCGACCUUGCGCAAGCUGCGACUGCGCAUGCUAUCAUCUGCCGCACAUGGCGCAGCCACAUUCGAGGCGAUGCCAUACGGCGACGUCAUGGGUGACUUCGCCGCCGCCGGCUGUGCUGUCGAUGGCGAGCACAAUAGGGGUUCUGGCAGAGGCUUUGGCUGCCGAGACUGCACCUCGUACGACUCGCAUGGCGCCGCUGCUGUCUCUUCCACGGCCACAACGAACGAUGUGCGCCGCGUCAUUGCGCAAGGACUGGGGUUUUGUGCCGCGUACAUGAAGGAGGCGCUUGGCCAACUUCCUGUUAGGCCAGAGGAGGAGCGCACCAGUGAAGAGGAAGGUGCAACGACGCGCCGCGGAUGCAACACCGCCCCCUCUCGAGCUAAAACGCGACGAUUUUUCUACGGCCCACUGACGCAGCGCGAGUACGAGGCCCAGCAGCGGCGUGAAUUGUGCUUUGCACCGGGCGGGGCCGGCGACGUGUUGAAUGAUUGGGGCUGGACGAUCACGAGUCAGUACGUGAAGAUCUUUUCUUUGGACAUCACCGCACCCUUGUAUGUGAAGCGGCUGCAGCGGGUUGCUGAUGUAGAGGUUAUCGGCCGUAAUCACGGCGGGGAGCGCCGCACAGGUAAUUCGUAGUCAAGGGCGCGUAAGUCCUUGGGUUGCGGAUAACGGGUGGGAAGUAUGCAUGAAGUAGCCGGGCCAGGUGCGCAGACGUCAAAUGGCUGAGCGCAUUUGUUUGAGUGGCACGCAACGUCUGAUCGUGACUCUGGCGCCAAUGGAUGUAAUUCGCCACUCCUUGUUCCUCCUCCUCCGCACUUCAUAGUGCUUUCACAUGACCAGUCUUUGCUUUUCUCUUUCGUAUUUGUUGGGAGUGAGUCUCUGCUGUAUCUGCGUGUGCGUGUGUGUGUCUAGGAUUCGUCUCUGUUGUAUUUUGUUGCUGUUGCGCGCUUUUUCGUGGAUGCGGAUCUUAGGAUUGGGGUGAGCGGGUGAAUGACGGCUGCUCUGCUGUUGCAUGGAGUUCAGUAAUGAACGCUGAAAAC
rnacentral:misc_RNA from 1 species